rnacentral:lncRNA from 1 species
CCUGCGUGGAGUGCGGGGAGGGCAGGCCUGGGCCCCAAGGAGGAGAGGAGGCGCCUCGGCGGGCUGUCAGGAGCAGGGCUGAGGACUGGCAUCUCCUUCCCGUCACGGUGGGACAGACUACUAAGCAGCACACAGGUGGUCUUCAAGCAAGGAGCUCAAAGACACCAAGCCAGCCACUAAGGUUAAUUACAAGUGAUACAGACCUCACAGAGGAGGUUUGUCUUCGUCUCAGCUUCUCACCCCCCAUGAGUAGUAGCUGCCUACAGACUGGGAAUUCCCAUGAGUCCCCAUUCUGGGAGAAGGACCAGCUGCGGUGGUGGCCUUGGUGCUGGAGCUCGCAUCAGAAUCGACACUCCAGGGCAACGUUCUGCAUCCUCACCUCCCAGGCACAGCGCACCCCUUUAACACUCUCCAAGACACUAUUUAUGGCAGCGUCUGACAGAUGGUGGCACUGCACCAAGGUGUGUAGCUGUGGAUUUUCCUCCUGUCGGCUGCAUUGCAAUUCUAGCCUCCUGGCACAUGGAAGUCAUAUUUCCUACCUGAGCCAGAAACUUUGGUCCAGGUGACACUGCCCGAAGGAACUGAGAAUUGAAGUCCUUGUUUGCACAAGUGGGUGGUCCAUACAUACUGGUUCAAUCAGGUAUCUUUGCUUUUACUUAGAUGCGAAAGAGUGUGUGGAGAGAGGUGUUUUGAGAGAAGCAAAGGAAGGUGCCAACAGGUUCGCGUCCUGUAACCAGCUUGUAAGCCUACACAGCAUGAUUCUUUAAAAGAUGGUAAACCCAAUAUUGGCAUGGGGCUGGGUGUGCUGCUCCAUUGCCAGUGUAGGCUCAAAUCGUUAUGGGCUUCUGCACAAAAGUACUUGUGAACUGUAAAUACAGUAAUGCCUCUUUUAGCAGCUUAUCCUGAGGAUGUAAUCAGUGAUACAGAAGAAGAUAUAUCAAACACAUGUUUUCAUCACAUUAUGCUAAACAUGAAAAACU